CGAAGAACCUUACCAGGUCUUGACAUCCUUUGACCACUCUGGAGACAGAGCUUUCCCUUCGGGGACAAAGUGACAGGUGGUGCAUGGUUGUCGUCAGCUCGUGUCGUGAGAUGUUGGGUUAAGUCCCGCAACGAGCGCAACCCUUGAUUUUAGUUGCCAGCAUUUAGUUGGGCACUCUAAAGUGACUGCCGGUGCAAGCCGGAGGAAGGUGGGGAUGACGUCAAAUCAUCAUGCCCCUUAUGACCUGGGCUACACACGUGCUACAAUGGAUAGUACAAAGGGUCGCGAAGCCGCGAGGUGGAGCUAAUCCCAUAAAACUAUUCUCAGUUCGGAUUGUAGGCUGCAACUCGCCUACAUGAAGCCGGAAUCGCUAGUAAUCGUGGAUCAGCAUGCCACGGUGAAUACGUUCCCGGGCCUUGUACACACCGCCCGU
rnacentral:rRNA from 1 species